rnacentral:rRNA from 1 species
GAUGAACGCUGGCGGCGUGCCUAAUACAUGCAAGUCGAGCGAAUGGAUUGAGAGCUUGCUCUUAUGAAGUUAGCGGCGGACGGGUGAGUAACACGUGGGUAACCUGCCCAUAAGACUGGGAUAACUCCGGGAAACCGGGGCUAAUACCGGAUAACAUUUUGAACCGCAUGGUUCGAAAUUGAAAGGCGGCUUCGGCUGUCACUUAUGGAUGGACCCGCGUCGCAUUAGCUAGUUGGUGAGGUAACGGCUCACCAAGGCAACGAUGCGUAGCCGACCUGAGAGGGUGAUCGGCCACCCUGGGACUGGAAAACGGCCCAGACUCCUACGGGAGGCAGCAGUAGGGAAUCUUCCGCAAUGGACGAAAGUCUGACGGAGCAACGCCGCGUGAGUGAGGAAGGCUUUCGGGUCGUAAAACGCUGUUGUUAGGGAAGAACAAGUGCUAGUUGAAUAAGCUGGCACCUUGACGGUACCUAACCAGAAAGCCACGGCUAACUACGUGCCAGCCGCCGCGGUAA